CCUACGGGUGGCAGCAGUGGGGAAUAUUGCACAAUGGGGGAAACCCUGAUGCAGCGACGCCGCGUGAGUGAUGAAGUAUUUCGGUAUGUAAAGCUCUAUCAGCAGGGAAGAAAAUGACGGUCACUGAUUAAGAAGCCCCGGCUAACUACGUGCCAGCAGCCGCGGUCAUACGUAGGGGGCAAGCGUUAUCCGGUUUUACUGGGUGGAAAGGGAGCGUAGACGGGAGCACAAGUCUGGAGUGAAAUGCCGGGGCUUAACCUCGGAACUACUUUGGAAACUGGGCAGCUAGAGUGCCGGAGAGGUAAGUGGAAUUCCUAGUGUAGCGGUGAAAUGCGUAGAUAUUAGGAGGAACAGCAGUGGCGAAGGCGACUUACUGGACUGUAACUGACGUUGAGGCGCGAAAGCGUGGGGAGCAAACAGGAUUAGAUACCCUUGUAGUC
rnacentral:rRNA from 1 species